ensembl:lncRNA
CCCAAAUCAAUUUCUCCCUGAAGUUGCUGCUUUCCAGUUAUUUGUUACAAUGAUGAGAAAAGUACCUCAUUCCUUCUUUCCCCAUGACAUGUUCACCUACAAAUAGAGACACAGUAUAUACUCACAACUUUAAUAGGUCAUUAGCUGGGGUGGUGGAAAGUUGACGGGCUUUGAUUUUUGUCCUUCAUGUGUUGUCAAUUUCAAAUAAAUUAAGUUAGUCCCAAGAAAACAAAGUCUGAAUUUCACAAUUUUCUGAGAAUUAUUGGAACCAGGUCUUCCACAUGAGAUAUGAGUCUAUAAAUAUUUUCAGUGCCUAAUGCAGUAAUUACAUUUUGGUGCUGAUACACAUGUAAAUGUUUUCAUAUUCCUACCACAUGCAUGUUGGAGUGUACACACAUUUUUCUUUAUUUUUUUUUCGUUCAGAGAAGCACAUAAAAUACAAAUCUCUUUACUUCAAAGUCAGAGCAGAGGAGUUGGAGUUCUAAAUAUUUUCUGAUUUGGAGUGGUGUUCCACGACACUAGCAUGAAACCAACUCUUCAUCAAAGUGGUUUGCUUCAAUCAGGGCUGUACCGAUGCGCUAUAAAUUAUAAAUCAUAUCUUCUGUUUUACAUGGGAAUGGAAGCUUGGAGGUGGCUCGCACUCCAACAGACGGACUUGAGGUAGUUUCAUGUCCUCGGUUGCUUAUGAUUUGCUUCUAAGGUCAUUUUCAAAGACUCUGCCAUUAACUUCAGAGGCAACCCGGCAAGGAGCUUUCAGCAGCUAAGUAUGGGUUUUGGCACGGGUUCUGAUAGUUAAACAAGGCAGCGAGGAAUCACAAACAAGGAGCCAGGAGGGACGAGUGGGAGGGAAAGGUGGCUGGGAGGGAAUGGGGAGAGAGAAAUGACACCCACCGUCAUACUAGUCACCUCUCACUGGGUUCUUGGUUCCUUCCUGGACAAGAAAUGAAAGGGAAGGAGUGCAGAUCUGAGUAGUGACAGGAGUACCAGCAUUUCAGUCUAACCUAUGCUUCUGGUUUUCCCUGGGGCUGUGGGAAAGCUGAAGACCCCAGUCAUCCAUCACAUUCAUGGUCCCACCUUAAGUCCAGGAUCAUUUUAUCUUGAAAUGAUCAAAUAAGACAGCCCCCCCCCCCUCAGAUUGUAGGUAGACUUGAAGGGUGUGUGUGUGGCUACCAUCCAGCCUCCCACAUCCCUUGAGCAUGCUGCUGUCCUGGCUGUGAUCUCUCUCGUGCCCAACUUGUACCUUCUCUUUUGAGAACAGCCCAGGUUGGUGUCCCAUUCACAAUCCCCCUGCCUUAGCUCCCUAAGUGCUGGGUUUUUAGUCCUGUUGCAAUCACUUCGCACUUUCCCUGUGCUCUUUGGAGCCUCUGAAUCUAGUAUCUAAAGUGCUUGCUAAUGGUUGGUACAGCCAGGAUCCUUGGGACUCUGUCUGCUCUGACACCCCGAGGUUCUAGACACCACCGACAGUGCACAUCAUCUCAGUGAGGACCAAAGAAGCUUUGGAAUCAGGUGGACAGAAGACAGUGGCUGCAGAGUAUGUUAUAGAAAACCAGGAGCUGAUAUGAUAAUGGUGGUGAGUAUAUCUGCGCACACGCACAGCCAGGAGUACACUUGUAUGUGAGAAAAGACUGUUUGACCAAGCUGGAUUCCUUGUCUAUGUGCCUGGGCAAGGCAUGGUUUCCCAUAUGUGUUCCUUCCUGCUGUGUUUUAUUGCUUGGGGUGCCCAUCUUCCGCUCUUGGGAGAUACAUUAGUAAUCCGUGUUCCAGAGGUUUACUUUCAAAGUUUUCAAUGACCUGUGGUUAAGUGAGAUCCCAGAAUAUGAAACGGAAAAUUACAGUAAAAAAAAAAUUCUAAGUUUGGAAUUGCGUGCUGUUCUGUGUAGUGUGAUGAAAUCUUUUACCACACCAACCAGGACAUGAAUCACCCCAUAGCCUAGCACAGCAUGCUGCAUGCGUCACAGAGCUGUUAGUCACUCCCUAGCUGUCUCCUUCGUCAGACCAACUGUUGCAUAUCACAGUGCUGUGGAGCUGGUGAUUCAGGUAUGUCCUCCCAAGGGACAAAGAGUGAGUUGGGGGUAUCAGUCAUGUGCCGCACAAACACCCCACUUCUUUCUUCCAUCCAGCACAUGGUAGGUACUCCUCAAGCCCUUUUAAAGUUUUGGCACGGACAAGGGAAUGUAAGCAAAAGUGAUACAUUACUUCCAGGAGGAAGCAUGAUUUUCUACCUCCUUUCCCCACUGCUGCAGAAACAGAAGCACCCAUUGAACACCAGUCUCUGAAUAAAGGAAUCUGUUUGCAGAGCCCCCUGCUGGCCGGUGGUGGACACACAGUACAAAAGAGAAAUCACCACACUGCUUUACAUUUCUGAGCAGGCUUGUUACUGCAGCAUGACACAACCUCUUCUGGCUAAAUAAAUAAUGUACGUGACGUACUUGCUUUUGUAACUCCUAUAACAUAUAGUGUCCGAUGUUUAGUAGGUUCUCAAUAAUAUUUGAUAAAUUAAGCAGUGAAUGUAAACACAUUUAGCUUGAAAAGGAACAGCCAUCCAUCACAUAUAUAAACAAAGUAGCUGCUGUACUAAGGGGAAAUGGGGUUUGGAAUUAGAUAGUGUAGAUAGCGUUUCAAACUGGAACAAAUGUAUGCUUUAAUCAUACCUAUCUCAUUGGUAGGGUUGUGAUUUAAACUAUUGCCUUUAGCAUAUUUAUUUUAUUGAUGCCUUAGUAAUUAAAAAGAAAAGAAAGAAAAGAGAAAAAGAAGGCAGGAAAAAGAAUUAGUAGUUGCUGGUGAUAUAAAACAAGGCAGAAGACUCAGCAGGUGGUAGAGAUAACAGUUUUCUACUCUCAAGGCUUGACUUAAUGUGAGAGCUUGCCCAUUACUCACUAUUCUUAUCUUUUGACUCAUCCCGCUCAGUUAUUUAUUCUCCAAGUAUUUAUUGAGCAGGUAGGUGCUGAGUCCUUGGCUAGGUGGCUGAUUCUCUCCUGAAGCUCAGCUGUGUAAGGUGUUAAGAGCCAGCAUAAGGACUGCCACAGUCAGCUCCAAAGAUUGGUGGGAGGAGGAAUCCAUCAGAUUUGGGACCAAAGACUUGCUUUGUUUCACUACCUUGUAUCUUCUCAUUCCAUAGUUCUCCAGCCCUUCAAUUUCCUUCCCUACAGCUGGUCCUCAACGCCUUUGUCUGGCACAGCAGCUCUCUGAGAGAGAGGAGAGGAAUACAUUGUUCCCAUUUGUAAGGUGAAGAAACUGGCACCAAGAGAAUGAGACAGAGGCCGAAUGAAGACACUGUGGCCAGCAACUUAUGCUCACUGUCAGAGGAGAACAGCUGCUCCAAGCAGGAAAGCUGGUCAGAGACUAGUGACUUCCUCACCUGGUGAAGGUCAUUUGAUGACUCAGUAUCAAAGUCAGCACUAAAAUGAAAACAACAAUAACAAGAAAAGGUAACAAUUGUUGGCAAGAGCCCUGUGUGUUACUGACAGAAAGUUAGAUGGUACAGCCCCUGAGGAUAAACGGUAAGGUGGUACCUCAAAAAAUUAAACGUGACUUACCUGAAGAUACAGAAACUUCAUUCCCACCUGCCAGCGGGUCCAGAGGAACCAGAGAAGAUAUUUGUAAACCUACAUUGUUAACAACGUUAUUUACAUUAUCUAGAAGGCAGAAGCAACCCUUGUCCAUAAUAGGCAAACGGACACACCACAUGGCAUGUACACCUCCCAGGGAAUCUCAUUUCAUUGUUGAAGGAAGAAAAUGCCAGGGCACCCUGCAGCAGAAGGAACAUGGAGGACACUGGGGAGGGGCCAGCUGGACCAGGAUGAGACUCUACUUUGAAAGAAAUGCCACAGAGCUUCUAGAUAUCAAUCACAUACAAGAGGCAGCUGAGGGGACUGACAAGUGCUCUGGUGGUCUACCUCUGGGUUUCUAACCCAGACAAUCAAGAGCAGAGAUUCUGGAGGGCAGUCUCUGCACACGUGUUUAUAAUAACACCGUUCGCAAUCGGCCAAAGUUAGAGACAACAGGACAUCCAUGGACCACAUGGCCAGCAGCAAGAAGCCAGAGCUGAGCUCAGCUGGAAGAACAGAUUCACAGUUUCUAUGUCCUGUUCUACUCUGCCUGUCACCCAGUCCCAUGCACACUGAUGAAGAGCAUGUUAAUGGUGUAUAAUAUUUAAUGACAUCACCUUGGCCAAGAUUCAGGAAUUCGGGACUCCAAGUUAUCCUGAACAGUCUAAAACCGAAAAUGGAAAGAUGAUUUUGCUUUGAGUCCAUGUGAACUCUGUGGAUGAGGGGAUGGACGCGGAGAACAUCUAUUCUGAGUAGAUGAGUUAAACAUAAAACUCUCAACACCAGUGAGGAAAUCAGAUUCCACGUUCACUUAAACUGUCCGCAGAGACCUUCAUUUUACAAACAAGAAACCCAGUGAAGGAAAGUCUGGCCUGGCAUUCCUUUCAUUUGCAGAUGUUGUGUAUCCUCAUUAUUCAUUGUAAACAGAGAAGGCUCCGUGCCACCUCAGUCAUACUGCAGGAGGAUGUUUUCACCAGCUCAGAAAAGGGGGGAAUGGGUGUAAAAAUAUUUAUGCUGCAUUUUCCAGGACUGUGUUUGAUUUCCUUUUUGGUUUGUUUAUUUUGUGGAAUGAGAGGGAUGGUGCAUCUUAUUUUUACAAGCUUGUAUUGUUACCCCAGGAAUGUUUUGGCAGAUGCAAAAUUAAAAACAAACUUCAUGUUUUCUUCAGUGCCCUUCAGGGCCCGAAAGGACAGGAACAAAGUAUCGUGGUUUGUCAUCAGAGCGCCAGGAAGCCACAAGGAAACGGAGUUUAUGAACCAAAUUGCUCAAAACGGGAAAGAAAUGAAAAAUGUGCAGCAGAUGCUCCCAGACUGGAGAACAAGCCAGAGGAAGGCCCACAGCAAAGCUUAUUGGCCUUCAACAAUAGCUGUUUGCACGCACAUGCGCGCGCAUGCGCACACACACACACACACACACACACACACACACACACACACCAAUUCUCUUCUAUAGUCAUUUCCCUGGGAUUUGAAAUUGAUAACUGUGGACACAAAGACACACUUGGCCUAAUUUGUCAGGCUAUUUGGAGUCAUGGGUGUCACCCUGCAUGUCUGGUAUGUGUACAGAUGGCUCCUGCUGGCUUCAAUAAAAUUGGAAAGCAGAAAGUCUGUAAUUUUUUUUCCAGACCAUUUAAAGGGGUUGCUUGUCAGUGCCCUGGUGUUGAAAUGGGAAUGUUAUACUGACUUUCUGGAAGUGUUCCCCAUGUUUAUAGACUGGUAACACAAUGUGUGGGUGAAAGAGAGAGCGAGCCAAUCAAUACUGUCAUCCAGUCUACUGAGUGCUUCAGCCAAACGUGCCCCCCCCCCGCCCCCGUUUUGCUGGUAAGCAAUGCUCCUGCUUGAUCAUGCAAGCAUUCAUUAAGGCAGCAAUUUCCAAAUCACUUUGCCAUUCUUUUGCAAUAUCCAUCAUUUAUCUACUUUUCAAAGACACUUGGUUUGUUUAAAAAUAAAAUAAAUUACCAGGGAAUCUGAGGCAGGCGGCUUACCUACUUCAAGACAACAUAGGGGAGAUCAUAUAUUACAAACAAAGCAAAGUAACAACAACAACAAUAAUAAUAAUUCUACAAAGUUUACAUUGUAACUCUGAAGAGAAACAAACAACUCACCACUACUACAAAGUAGCUAUCAAAAUUAUCUUGCCUAUCUAAGGUUGGGGAGUUGCAAGUAGGUGUCCACAGGGCAGAUAGAGAUGCUGAAGUAGAGAACAUCUCUGAAGAUGAAGAUGGAAGGGCAGUGGGGAAGGGACUGAACUAACUCUGAUGCCUGUGAAGGCUGUCUCCAUCCUGGAAGUAGACAUUUAUCUUGUGUUAGACCAGUGGUUUUCAACCUUCCCAAUGCUGCUACCCUUUAACACAGCUCCUCAUGUUGUGGUGACAGCCCUCCCCCUCCACCCCCCCCCCGCCGUAUAAUUACUUUGCUAAUACUUCAUAACUGUAAUUUUGCAACUGUUAUGAAUUGUAACGUAAAUAUCUGAUAUGCAGAAUACCUGAUAUGAGACCUACAAAAGGACAGUGAACCCCAGGUUGAGAACUACUGCUUGUAAGAGGUUUAUUAUUAUUUAUUGUUAUUUCUUGGG